AUUGAACGCUGGCGGCAGGCCUAACACAUGCAAGUCGAACGGUAACAGGAAGAAGCUUGCUUCUUUGCUGACGAGUGGCGGACGGGUGAGUAAUGUCUGGGAAACUGCCUGAUGGAGGGGGAUAACUACUGGAAACGGUAGCUAAUACCGCAUAAUGUCGCAAGACCAAAGAGGGGGACCUUCGGGCCUCUUGCCAUCGGAUGUGCCCAGAUGGGAUUAGCUAGUAGGUGGGGUAACGGCUCACCUAGGCGACGAUCCCUAGCUGGUCUGAGAGGAUGACCAGCCACACUGGAACUGAGACACGAUCCAGACUCCUACGGGAGGCAGCAGUGGGGAAUAUUGCACAAUGGGCGCAAGCCUGAUGCAGCUAUGCCGCGUGUAUGAAGAAGGCCUUCGGGUUGUAAAGUACUUUCAGCGGGGAGGAAGGGAGUAAAGUUAAUACCUUUGCUCAUUGACGUUACCCGCAGAAGAAGCACCGGCUAACUCCGUG
rnacentral:rRNA from 1 species